CCUCGGGCAGGCCCGGCACACCGGGCCGAAGCCCGCCCCAAUACCCACACAGAGCGUGCCACACGUACACGUAGUCCACGCUCGUGUAGGUCUCCUUCAUAUCCCGAAUGAAGGCGGCCAUCCCGGUUUUUGGGCCGGGCCGGGCCGGGUUCGGGCUCUUGUAAUCCUAAACUUGUAGUUUUCCUCGAACUUAAUCAACCUGCAGGGCAUCUGCUCGCCAGCCGAGGUCCGGUUCAUCCCCUCAGUGUUGAGGUCAUCGUCGUCGUGGCAGAUGGAUUGCCACCCGUCGUCUAUGAGCACGAGGCCUGGUGGGCAGCCCCCGUCGACGAGGCCCUUGACGCCCUCCAUCACGCCGGUGGGCUGCACGGUGAGGUAGAAGGCGUCCCAUGUGCACCACCCGAACUUGUCGACGAUCCCCGGUGGCGUCUUCUCCUCGAGGAGGCGGAACGUGCCGAGGUGGUGGCGCGCCACCUUCACGGCGUCCUUCACCACCGUGAAUGGGUCGUCCCCGGCGUGCAUGUAGAGCGAAGCCCGGAACGACGACUCGGUCACCUUGGUCGACCCGCUCUCAACGCAGAGGUCGACAGAGUCAUCGGGCCCGGGCUGGAUCGAGGCCCGGAAGGCCCCGUCAAUGAGCGGGAGGAGCACGAUGUAGGGCCGGUCAGCCCGGCCCGGCCCGGAUCGGUCUAGGAGGACUAUUUGGGUCUCCCGCUCGAGAUCCGACCCGUUCGACCCGAUCCAGUGGGUGGUCCACCAAACCUUGAAGCGGAAAAUGGACAUGAAUUUGAUGUUCUUGAGCUUCCCAAUGGGGACGACGUGGUGGCUCUUGGCCUCCACCG
rnacentral:lncRNA from 1 species